AACAAUAUACUCUAUCAUAUAUAAUCAACACAAUUAAAAUUAUUUAAAAAUUAUAUUUUAUAUUUUUUUAACUUCAUUUGACUGUAGAAUGAAUAGUCUCAGAAUAAAUAAUUCAAAAUAAAAUUUUGUAAAAACAAUAAUAAAAGACUUAAAUUUUAUUUGAGAUGUGUGGACCUUAUUCUCUCUCUCUCUCUCUCUCUCUCUCUCUCUCUCUCUCUCUCUCUCUCUCUCUCUAUAUAUAUAUAGAGAGAGAGAGAGAGAGUUUAACUACUAUACUAUCGAUAUAUAGCAGCAAGUCCUUAAUAUUAUCGAUUUCUAUCGUUAGAUCUACAUUUUGAUCAUUUUUCAUUCGUUAGAUUACACAAUUCAACCAACCAUCUAUUCAAUCCUAGAGUACUACUAUUAUUCUAAACGGUGACUACUAUCAUCCUAACCGCACAUUCUUUCAUUCAAUGGUCGAAAACUCGAUAGCACCGAAUGCUUGGUACUAUCGAUAGUAAGGCAGCAUAAUUCUAUAUAGUUGAGCUGUAAUGCUAAAUAGUAUUUGGACUCUUUUGCUAUAGAUUUUUUAACCUGUUAGAUUUACACUUUAAUCAAUUCCAUCUCUUAGAUCAUACUAUUCAGCCAACCACCCACUCAACCCCGAGGGGACCACUACUAAACCCUAGGGGACCACUAUCAUCGUAAUCCUAUAAUUUUUUAUCCAAGAGUUAAAAACUCGAUAGCAAAAAAGCUCAAUACUAUUAAUAGUAUUUCAGUUCAAUUCUCUCUCUCUCUCUCUCUCUCUCUCUCUCUCUCUCUCUCUCUCUCUCUCUAUCUAUAUAUAUAUAUAUAUAUAACUAGGCUGGACUACUAUUAAUAGCACCAAUGACUUGGUACUAUUAAGCUUUCUGCACUUGGAUUAAAAGAUGUGUGGUUAGGAUGAUGUGGAUCUCCUAGGGUUGAGUGAGUGAUUAGU
rnacentral:lncRNA from 1 species